UACGUAGGGUGCAAGCGUUGUCCGGAAUUAUUGGGCGUAAAGAGCUCGUAGGCGGUCUGUCGCGUCGGCUGUGAAAACCUAGGGCUCAACCCUGGGCCUGCAGCCGAUACGGGCAGACUAGAAUUCGGUAGGGGAGACUGGAAUUCCUGGUGUAGCGGUGAAAUGCGCAGAUAUCAGGAGGAACACCGGUGGCGAAGGCGGGUCUCUGGGCCGAUAUUGACGCUGAGGAGCGAAAGCGUGGGGAGCGAACAGG
rnacentral:rRNA from 1 species